AUGGAUGAUCCGCAGCAAGCAGAGACAGCUCCGCCGGAAGACGCGCCCGCGCGCCCCCUGCCGCACUCGGUGCGCGGCGUCUUCCUCAACUACAUCGGGCACUGGCGGCCACGGUUCUUCGCCCGUCCGUCGGCGCGCCCCGCGGGCGCGCCCGACUACGGUGACCUCGACUUCCUCCCCGACUAUAGCCGGGGUUACAACUCCAUCCUGGAUCACUGCAACGGCCUCCUGCUCUACGGCAACGCAUGGCUGUACUGCGUGGUGAACACCGCCACGAGGCGGUGGGAGCGUCUCCCGCGCAUGGACGCCAACAACUACGUCCCGUAUCUGGUCUUCGACCCCGCCCUGUCGCAUGGCUACGAGGUGCUCCUGUUCCGCCGCGAGCCCGACAAGCCCAAGAAGUUCGACCUCGUUGAGUUUCUGUCUUUGCUGGAUGACAUGUCGGGUGUCGAGGAGGACGCAGAGAAUGAGGACCAAGAUGAGCCGGCUGUAGAACCUUUGCCAAGACAGUCCAUCGAUGACUUGCAUCGUUUGACGGAAUGGCCACCGUCACAAUGGACGCUGCCUGUGUUCUCAUCGGCUACUGGAGAGUGGCGGGAGAGGUCAUUUGUCCGGGAAGGAGAGGCUGUCAAGACGAUGGCCAGUAUGCAACAACCGAUGGAAUGGGGCCCAAGAUGGCGUUACAGUGUGUAUUGGCGAGGCGCGCUUUACGUCCAUUGUCGUGGUGCAUUUGUUGCAAGGUUAUCUUUAUUAGAUGGUAAAUACCGGGUAUUUAAUACACCAAUAGAUUUUGAGGAAAGCAAACAUGCAUGUCCUUAUCUUGGGAAGUCGGAAAAAGGGGUGUACUUUGCGACAAUUCACAAGUACAACAACCUUCUUCGCGUUUGGAACCUCGGUGAAUCAAGCGGUCCAAUAGAUUGGGUACUAAAGCAUACCAUCGAGCUUGAUGAAUCUACUUUGUGGGCCGCGGCGCGUUUCUACCAACACGAGAUUAAUGGACCUUGGAUCUUAGAGGACAAUAACAAUGAUGAUGUGGAAGAAAAGAUGGUGCCGCUAAAAGAAAAUAUUGAAUGCAACUCCGAUGAUGAUAAUGUAAUGAGUAACCAAGGUGGUUGUGAAGAACAGUAUAGUCACAUUUAUUUCUUGGGUUUUCACCCGUACAAAGAGGUAAUUUUCUUAGGGUUGUCAUUUACAGGAGUGGCUUAUCAUUUGAAUAGCUCAAAAGUCCAAUACCUCGGAAAACUACACCCAAAAGAUUACUGCACAGCGUAUUCAAAUGGCAUAUAUGAAUCAUUUAUGUACACUCCCUGCAUGGUUGGGGAGCUUUCAGAGACUCCUCCAUAA
rnacentral:rRNA from 1 species